rfam:Oryza nivara chromosome 4, whole genome shotgun sequence.
AAUAAGUGUAGUUUUACAUUAUUCACGUUCAACGUUUGACCGUUCGUCUUAUUUGAAAAAAUUUUAUGAUUAGUAUUUUUAUUUCUAUUAGAUGAUAAAACAUGAAUAGUACUUUAUGUGUGACUAAAUAUUUUCAAAUUUUUCAAAUAAGACGGACGGUCAAACGUUAGGCACGGAUAUUCAUGGCUGCACUUAUU